GAUGAAGAACGUAGCGAAAUGCGAUAAGUAAUGUGAAUUGCAGAAUUCAGUGAAUCAUCGAAUCUUUGAACGCACAUUGCGCCCGCCAGUAUUCUGGCGGGCAUGCCUGUUCGAGCGUCAUUACAACCCUCAGGCCCCCGGGCCUGGCGUUGGGGAUCGGCGGAGCCCCCCGUGGGCACACGCCGUCCCCCAAAUGCAGUGGCGGUCCCGCCGCAGCUUCCAUCGCGUAGUAGCUAACACCUCGCGACUGGAGAGCGGCGCGGCCACGCCGUAAAACACCCAACUCUUCUGAAGUUGUCCUCGAAUCAGGUAGGAAUACCCGCUGAACUUAAGCAUAUCAAUAAGCGGAGGA
rnacentral:misc_RNA from 1 species